GCCCCUGAAGAACAGCAGCACGCUCCAGCAUGGCAGAGGAGUCUCUGCAUAGCCUCACUCCAGGCUCAGCUCAGCUCAGCGGCGCUCACAGGAGUCAUAGUUACAUGACCUCAAGCCACACGACUGGCAGUGGUAGCAUCUGAUCACCCUCAGCGUGGCAGGCUAAGGGGGGCGCUCGUCUUCCAGAACUGGUGCUGCCCUUUCCAUGGAAUUCAUUUCAUGCUCCAGCUUGGGGGGCUGUGUGCAUCAGAGAACGCAGCUGCUGCUCCAGUGCCUGGCUCCCUUCCUCCUGCCCUGGUUCCCGGUAGAGGAAAGUGAUGCUUUGCUCCGGUCAACGACCUCGUUCCCAGACAUUUGUGCUAACUGGCUCCCGCAGAGAUGCAAAGCAAGGAACAUGCUGUUACAAAAUGAUAUUCUGUAGCGUGUUUGAACAACUGCCAUUAAGAUUUCCUGCUGUUAUGGUUUAUUUGCAUUUGUGUGCCCAAUGCCACAGCACAGACAAUGUACCGACAACAAACCCUCCCCUCCCACACACAAAGCCUUGUGCUGGCCUGCACUGGUCAGGCCGAGACACAUGCACUGGAGGGACUGCGUUCGGAGACUCACCGGUGACAUGAGGUACUAAGAAAGGCCACACUCUCCUCCCCACAAGUAGCCCCCUCGAGCCUGGCAUUCUACUACUCGGACACACCCAACAGCAGCGACACACCAGACCAAGACAGCGCAUCAGGGAAAAAGUCCAGUCUUCCUCAAGUUUGUCUACAGCGUCCGUCCCCUGCCCGGCAGAGGGAGCUGACUGGAACAAAUGCUCUGUAGAAAUAUUUCAGUAUUUGCCUAUUUUUCCCCUCCCCGUCCCCUGCCGCCCUUUUUCAGGUUGUGAGUACAGCUGUAGACUCAGUGAGCUGGAUGGAUUCUAAUAAAACAUACAGUAUAUAUUGUAACGGA